UACGAAGGGGGCUAGCGUUGCUCGGAAUUACUGGGCGUAAAGCGUGCGUAGGUGGUUUUUUAAGUCCGUUGUGAAAGCCCUGGGCUCAACCUGGGAAUGGCAGUGGAUACUGGAAAGCUAGAGUGCGGUAGAGGGUAGUGGAAUUCCCGGUGUAGCAGUGAAAUGCGUAGAGAUCGGGAGGAACACCAGUGGCGAAGGCGGCUACCUGGACCAGCACUGACACUGAGGCGCGAAAGCGUGGGGAGCAAACAGG
rnacentral:rRNA from 1 species